rnacentral:rRNA from 1 species
CCUACGGGAGGCAGCAGUGGGGAAUAUUGCGCAAUGGGGGAAACCCUGACGCAGCAACGCCGCGUGAGUGAGGAAGGACUUCGGUCUGUAAAGCUCUGUUAAUGUGGAAAAAUGGUAGUUGGUCUAAUAGGCCGAUUAUUUGAUGGUACACAUAGAGGAAGCACCGGCUAACUUCGUGCCAGCAGCCGCGGUAAUACGAAGGGUGCAAGCGUUGUUCGGAUUUAUUGGGCGUAAAGCGCGCGUAGGCGGACCUGUAAGUCAGAUGUGAAAUCUCGGGGCUCAACCUCGAAACUGCGUCUGAAACUGCAGGUCUAGAAUCUCGGAGGGGGAAGGGAAUUUCGCAUGUAGGGGUAAAAUCCGUAGAUAUGCGAAGGAACACCAGAGGCGAAGGCGCCUUCCUGGACGAGUAUUGACGCUGAGGCGCGAAAGCGUGGGGAUCAAACAGGAUUAGAUACCCUGGUAGUCCACGCUGUAAACUAUGAACACUAGGUAUUGGAGGAUUUGACCCCUUCAGUGCCGUAGCUAACGCGUUAAGUGUUCCGCCUGGGAAGUACGGUCGCAAGACUAAAACUCAAAUGAAUUGACGG